ensembl:lncRNA
UGGACUUACACAAAAUAGAAUUUAUGAGACUUCUUGUGCUUUUAGGAUGCCAACUUGUAACAAUAUAUAGUAAGUAGGUCUUUUAUAAGCAAACAACUUGGCAGAUAUUUCCCCAAAUUUGACAAUACUACUAAAAAUUUAUGUGACAUUAAGUGUAAUGAGUUAUGAAAUCAAAGGAACCCUCGUAUACUCCAAGUAAUGAAAAACAAAUUUUGGUCAACCAAAUCAAUAAAAGAUGGAAAUAUCUUUCGAUUCUCUGUAGAAAAUAUUGCAAAAUUAGUGUCAUAUAAAUAAGUGAUUUAAAGGGUAUGUAGCCAAAAAAUGUCAGGUAGUAAGUUAAUAGAAAUAUAUGUUAUUUUUCUGGUUGUUGUGAUGUUUUUGGUACUUACCAAUUCUUUAAAGUUCAGUAAGAUUUCUUUUUUCAUUCUUGUUAAAUGAUUGCUUAAUGAAUAAUCAUUAUUAUUUAAUGAAUGGUGAAUAGUUAAUUUUGUGUUGUCACUUUGCAUUCUAUAAGAGUCCCUCCUUCUGUCAUUUUUACAGGUCUCAGGCCCCACAAAAUCUGGAUCCACCCUUGCUCUCAGCAAUCCUGUUGAUAAAAAUUAUUCAUCAUUCAAAACCAAGAUCAAAUGUCACUUCCUUUAUAAAUUAUUUCCUGAAUCCCUAAUCAGAACCAAAGAAGACAUUAAGAAAAAGCAAAAACCAAUCAUUUGGGAAGAUUUGUUUCAGUUUAGAAGAUCAUCCUCAACAGCAGAAACAAACAUUUUGAACCAGAGAUGAAGACCAAGAUAAAGAAAAAAUGAUUCCCUGCGACUCAUGAAAACACAUGCUUAGUCUUUUAGACUAAAUUUAAGGAGAGACGUUUUAUAUAUAUUUUUUCAACUUGCCAAGAUAUGCUAAACACAUUAAACAAACCCAGUCCUCCUGCUCAAAAUGUAUGAAAUUUCUAUUCCAUUUUUAGGGUAUCUGCACACAGCUGACAUAUCUGUUUGAACUGAAAAAUUGCUUCUUGUAACUUCUUUUUCUUCAUGUAUUUUAUUCCAAGCCAACAUGUCAAUUUUGAUUGUAAGUGUGGUGUGUCCAAACCACGUGUGGUACAUACUAUAAAUGGAAAAAAAAUGUUGAUAAAUUUAAUUAUGUUUAUCUGAACAUUUGAUAAAGCAAAACAAAACAAGAAACCUUCAAGAUUAUCUUUUAAGGAUUUUCCAAACCAAUUGGAGCUAAACCUCAUUAAUAUUUUUCCUAUAUGGGAAUUACGUGAUUUAUACAAUUUUGCCAUUUUGAAACAUAUAUUUCGAUAUCUGAUACUUUAGGACAAAGCUACCAGUGGGUUGAUUCUGGAAUACUGAUGCCUUGCAUCUAAUUAUUUAACAGAUGCUAUUAGUUUUUCUCUAAAUAAUGACUUUUUAAAAUUUUGUUUGGUUCUAAAGCUUAUUCAUUUGUUUUGGGAAAGAGAGGGCAAGUGGGGGAGGGGCAGAGAGAGGGAGACAGAGAGAAUCCCAAGCAGGCUCCACACCAUCAGUGCAGAGCCUGAUGUGGGGCUGGAACUCACAAACUUGAGAUCAUGACCUGAGCCGAGUCAGAUGCUUAACCAACUGAGCCACCCAGGUGCCCCUCUAGGUAAUGACUUUUUA